GUGUUCCGUACAAUUGCACAUGUAUUAAAAUUGAAAUGAAACAUAGAAGCCUAGCCUAGCCCUUGUAUAAGGGUGAAAACCAAACUUGUGAAGCAUUCCAUAUUCUU